rnacentral:rRNA from 1 species
UACAGGGGGGGCAAGGCGUUGUUCGGAAUUACGUGGGCGUAAAGGGCUUAGUAGGUGGCCAAUUAAGUGCAGUACGUGAAAUCCCGUCAGCCUUAACUGGGGAAACUGGGCGUCCUGAUACUGGUUGGCGUUGAGUGCAGGAGAGGAACGGCGGAAUUCCAGGUGUAGCGGUGAAAUGCGCAGAUAUCAGGAGGAACACCGGUGGCGAAGGCGGGUCUCUGGGCCGAUACUGACGCUGGAGGAGCGAAAGCGUGGGGAGCGAACAGG